AUUUAACUCUUUCUUCAUUCCUAACACAUUCAAGUCUAGCUGAGCGGCGGACGGGUGAGUAAUGCCUAGGAAUCUGCCUGGUAGUGGGGGAUAACGUCCGGAAACGGGCGCUAAUACCGCAUACUAUCAGAUGAGCCUAGGUCGGAUUAGCUAGUUGGUGGGGUAAAGGCCUACCAAGGCGACGGUCCGUAACUGGUCUGAGAGGAUGAUCAGUCACACUGGAACUGAGACACGGUCCAGACUCCUACGGGAGGCAGCAGUGGGGAAUAUUGGACAAUGGGCGAAAGCCUGAUCCAGCCAUGCCGCGUGUGUGAAGAAGGUAUUCGGAUUGUAAAGCACUUUAAGUUGGGAGGCGUUACCAACAGAAUAAGCACCGGCUAACUUCGUGCCAGCAGCCGCGGUAAUAC
rnacentral:rRNA from 1 species